UACGUAGGGUGCAAGCGUUAAUCGGAAUUACUGGCGUAAAGCGUGCGCAGGCGGUUAUGCAAGACAGAUGUGAAAUCCCCGGGCUCAACCUGGGAAGCUGCAUUUGUGACUGCAUGGCUGGAGUGCGGCAGAGGGGGAUGGAAUUCCGCGUGUAGCAGUGAAAUGCGUAGAUAUGCGGAGGAACACCGAUGGCGAAGGCAAUCCCC
rnacentral:rRNA from 1 species